rnacentral:rRNA from 1 species
CUACGGGAUGCAGCAGUGAGGAAUAUUGCACAAUGGGGGGAACCCUGAUGCAGCAACGCCGCGUGGAGGAUGACGCAUUUCGGUGUGUAAACUCCUUUUAUAUGUCAAGAAAAUGACGGUAGCAUAUGAAUAAGCACCGGCUAACUCCGUGCCAGCAGCCGCGGUAAUACGGAGGGUGCAAGCGUUACUCGGAAUCACUGGGCGUAAAGGACGCGUAGGCGGGUUGGAAAGUCAGGUGGGAAAUCCUACAGCUUAACUGUAGAACUGCACUUGAAACUUCCAAUCUAGAGUAUGGGAGGGGGAGAUGGAAUUAGUGGUGUAGGGGUAAAAUCCGUAGAUAUCACUAGGAAUACCUAAAGCGAAGGCGAUCUCCUGGAACAUUACUGACGCUAAGGCGUGAAAGCGUGGGGAGCAAACAGGAUUAGAUACCCCUGUAGUC